CCCGCCGCCACGCUGACAGUGAAGAGACCUGUGCCCCUUCCUGCAGAGCUGCAGUUUAUGGUCAAAGAGCUAGAGAGGACUGUCUCUGCACCAGCUGGUCCUUCUGUUGUUGUGCCCCGACCGACACUCAGACCAACCGCUCAUACUACGCCUGAGCCACCACACAGUCUCUCAUCUCAGCCAGCCACUGCUUCACACUUUUGCCGGAAUAAAGGGCACAGAAAUUUGUCCCCUCAAACCUGCUGUGCCCAAAGUCCUUUUGUGAUGGCUGGAGGCACAGCUGGCAUCUGUGCACCUUGUGCUGCUUGUGCUUCCGUCUACGGGUAGGAGGCACAGGCACAG